rnacentral:tRNA from 1 species
UACUCUGUGGUGUAAAUGUGCGGCAUCUGUCUGUGAUGCGCAAAGAAUGGCAGCAUAACAGAUACUGAAUCUGGAGGUGAUGGUUCGAAUCCAUUCAGGGUAG